GGAAUCCAUUCCAAGAAUCCCAGUGGAUGCCUGAAACCACAGAUGGCACUCCCCUCAAGAUAGUCACAUGAAUGCAAAAAGAAACAGAACUCGCUCACCAACAUUUAACCAAAAUGGAAGUAACGCUCUCUAGAGAAGCUACCAUUAAACCAGUUCAACGUGU